rnacentral:rRNA from 1 species
UCCGCAGGCUGAAUAUUAAGUCAGUGGUGAAAGCCUACAGCUUAACUGUAGAACUGCCAUUGAUACUGAUAUUCUUGAGUGUGGUUGAAGUGGGCGGAAUAUGUCAUGUAGCGGUGAAAUGCAUAGAUAUGACGUGGAACACCAAUUGCGAAGGCAGCUCACUAAGCCAUUACUGACGCUCAUGGACGAAAGCGUGGGGAGCGAACAGGAUUAGAUACCCUGGUAGUCCACGCCGUAAACUAUGAUCACUAGAUGUUGGCGAUAUAAUGUCAGCGUUCAAGAGAAAUCGUUAAGUGAUCUACCUGGGGAGUACGUUCGCAAGAAUGAAACUCAAAGGAAUUGACGGGGGCCCGCACAAGCGGUGGAGCAUGUGGUUUAAUUCGAUGA